rnacentral:tRNA from 2 species
GGAGUCGUGCCUGAAUGCCAAAGGACUACUUUGAUAGAGUAUAUCAUGGAGGCUAAAAUCCUCCCAGCUCCU